rnacentral:rRNA from 1 species
UACUAGAGUAGCACUCGCAUAUCAAUAAGCGGAGGAAAAGAAACUAACUAGGAUUCCCUCAGUAACGGCGAGUGAAGCGGGAAGAGCUCAAAUUUGAAAUCUUCAAGGUUUUACCUUGACGAAUUGUAGUUUAAAGAAGUGUUUUCUGUUGGUGUUUUGGUAAAAGUUCUUUGGAAUAGGACAUCAUAGAGGGUGAGAAUCCCGUAUUUGACCAUUAUUUUCAGCUGUGUGAUACACUUUCAAAGAGUCGGAUUGUUUGGGAAUGCAGUCCAAAAUGGGUGGUAAAUUUCAUCUAAAGCUAAAUAUUGGCGAGAGACCGAUAGCGAACAAGUACCGUGAGGGAAAGAUGAAAAGAACUUUGAAAAGAGAGUUAAACAGUACGUGAAAUUGUCAAAAGGGAAGCGUUUGACACCAGUGUUGUUUUCUCGAAAAUCAAUUAAAAAAAGUUGGAUUUUGUGUUGUAUUGACCUUAACAGCUUUCUUCACUCUUUUCCUGCUUUUUUUAAUGCACUUUUCGUUUAACAAGUCAACAUCAGUUUCUUUUGUUGUAAAAAGGUCAUUGGAAGGUGGCUUUCUUUUCGGAGAAAGUGUUUAUAGCCUUUGAUCCCUGCAAUCGGAGAGACUGAGGUCUGCAGCGUAGAUCCUUCGGGGUUAGAUACAUUUGUGCUAAGUUAUAGCUUUUUAUAGACAACUUGUUGACUAUAUUUAGUCUUGUAGCUUACUCGCUUAUGCUAUUUUACCUACGCUUAGGAUGUUGAUAGUCACAGCGUGUAC